rnacentral:rRNA from 1 species
GAUGAACGCUGGCGGCGUGCUUAACACAUGCAAGUCGAACGGAAAGGCCAGUGCUUGCACUGGUACUCGAGUGGCGAACGGGUGAGUAACACGUGGGUGAUCUGCCCUGCACUUCGGGAUAAGCCUGGGAAACUGGGUCUAAUACCGGAUAGGACAAUGGUUUGGAUGCCGUUGUGGAAAGUUUUUUCGGUGUGGGAUGAGCUCGCGGCCUAUCAGCUUGUUGGUGGGGUAAUGGCCUACCAAGGCGUCGACGGGUAGCCGGCCUGAGAGGGUGUACGGCCACAUUGGGACUGUGAGACGGCCCAGACUCCUACGGGGGGCAGCAGUGGGGAAUAUUGCACAAUGGGCGCAGGCCUGAUGCAGCGACGCCGCGUGGGGGAUGACGGCCUUCGGGUUGUAAACACCUUUCGCUAGGGACGAAGCGUAUUUGUGACGGUACCUGGAGAAGAAGCACCGGCUAACUACGUG